rnacentral:misc_RNA from 1 species
GAUGAAGAACGUAGCGAAAUGCGAUAAGUAAUGUGAAUUGCAGAAUUCAGUGAAUCAUCGAAUCUUUGAACGCACAUUGCGCCCGCCAGUAUUCUGGCGGGCAUGCCUGUUCGAGCGUCAUUUCAACCAUCAAGCCCUGCUUGCGUUGGGGUCCUGCGGCUGCCCGCAGGCCCUGAAAACCAGUGGCGGGCUCGCUAGUCACACCGAGCGCAGUAAUACAUCUCGCUUUGGGCGUGCGGCGGGUUCUUGCCGUUAAACCACCUUCAUAACCCAAGGUUGACCUCGGAUCAGGUAGGAAGACCCGCUGAACUUAAGCAUAUCAAUAAGCGGAGGA